rnacentral:rRNA from 1 species
GACGAACGCUGGCGGCGUGCUUAACACAUGCAAGUCGAACGGCAAGGCCCUGCUUUUGUGGGGUGCUCGAGUGGCGAACGGGUGAGUAACACGUGAGUAACCUGCCCUUGACUUUGGGAUAACUUCAGGAAACUGGGGCUAAUACCGGAUAGGAGCUCCUGCUGCAUGGUGGGGGUUGGAAAGUUUCGGCGGUUGGGGAUGGACUCGCGGCUUAUCAGCUUGGUGGUGGGGUAGUGGCUUACCAAGGCUUUGACGGGUAGCCGGCCUGAGAGGGUGACCGGCCACCUUGGGACUGAGAUACGGCCCAGACUCCUACGGGAGACAGCGGUGGGGAAUAUUGUCCAAUGGGCGGAAGCCGGAUGCAGCAACGCCGCGUGCGGGAUGACGGCCUUCGGGUUGUAAACCGCUUUCGCCUGUGGCGAAGCGUGUGUGACGGUAAUGGAUAAAGAAGCACCGGCUAACUACGUG